UGGCGGCGUGCCUAAUACAUGCAAGUCGAACGAACUCUGGUAUUGAUUGGUGCUUGCAUCAUGAUUUACAUUUGAGUGAGUGGCGAACUGGUGAGUAACACGUGGGAAACCUGCCCAGAAGCGGGGGAUAACACCUGGAAACAGAUGCUAAUACCGCAUAACAACUUGGACCGCAUGGUCCGAGUUUGAAAGAUGGCUUCGGCUAUCACUUUUGGAUGGUCCCGCGGCGUAUUAGCUAGAUGGUGGGGUAACGGCUCACCAUGGCAAUGAUACGUAGCCGACCUGAGAGGGUAAUCGGCCACAUUGGGACUGAGACACGGCCCAAACUCCUACGGGAGGCAGCAGUAGGGAAUCUUCCACAAUGGACGAAAGUCUGAUGGAGCAACGCCGCGUGAGUGAAGAAGGGUUUCGGCUCGUAAAACUCUGUUGUUAAAGAAGAACAUAUCUGAGAGUAACUGUUCAGGUAUUGACGGUAUUUAACCAGAAAGCCACGGCUAACUACGUGCCAGCAGCCGCGGUAAUACGUAGGUGGCAAGCGUUGUCCGGAUUUAUUGGGCGUAAAGCGAGCGCAGGCGGUUUUUUAAGUCUGAUGUGAAAGCCUUCGGCUCAACCGAAGAAGUGCAUCGGAAACUGGGAAACUUGAGUGCAGAAGAGGACAGUGGAACUCCAUGUGUAGCGGUGAAAUGCGUAGAUAUAUGGAAGAACACCAGUGGCGAAGGCGGCUGUCUGGUCUGUAACUGACGCUGAGGCUCGAAAGUAUGGGUAGCAAACAGGAUUAGAUACCCUGGUAGUCCAUACCGUAAACGAUGAAUGCUAAGUGUUGGAGGGUUUCCGCCCUUCAGUGCUGCAGCUAACGCAUUAAGCAUUCCGCCUGGGGAGUACGGCCGCAAGGCUGAAACUCAAAGGAAUUGACGGGGGCCCGCACAAGCGGUGGAGCAUGUGGUUUAAUUCGAAGCUACGCGAAGAACCUUACCAGGUCUUGACAUACUAUGCAAAUCUAAGAGAUUAGACGUUCCCUUCGGGGACAUGGAUACAGGUGGUGCAUGGUUGUCGUCAGCUCGUGUCGUGAGAUGUUGGGUUAAGUCCCGCAACGAGCGCAACCCUUAUUAUCAGUUGCCAGCAUUAAGUUGGGCACUCUGGUGAGACUGCCGGUGACAAACCGGAGGAAGGUGGGGAUGACGUCAAAUCAUCAUGCCCCUUAUGACCUGGGCUACACACGUGCUACAAUGGAUGGUACAACGAGUUGCGAACUCGCGAGAGUAAGCUAAUCUCUUAAAGCCAUUCUCAGUUCGGAUUGUAGGCUGCAACUCGCCUACAUGAAGUCGGAAUCGCUAGUAAUCGCGGAUCAGCAUGCCGCGGUGAAUACGUUCCCGGGCCUUGUACACACCGCCCGUCACACCAUGAGAGUUUGUAACACCCAAAGUCGGUGGGGUAACCUUUUAGGAACCAGCCGCCUAAGGUGGGACAGAUGAUU
rnacentral:rRNA from 1 species